rnacentral:rRNA from 1 species
UACGUAGGGGGCAAGCGUUGUCCGGAUUUAUUGGGCGUAAAGAGCGUGUAGGCGGCUUUACAGGUCCGUUGUGAAAACUCGAGGCUCAACCUCGAGACGCCGGUGGAAACCGUAAGGCGUAGAGUCCGGAAGAGGAGAGUGGAAUUCCUGGUGUAGCGGUGAAAUGCGCAGAUAUCAGGAAGAACACCCGUGGCGAAGGCGGCUCUCUGGAACGCAACUGACGCUGAGACGCGAAAAGCGUGGGGAGCAAACAGG